GUCGAGAAUUUUUCACAAUGGGCGCAAGCCUGAUGGAGCGACGCCGCGUGGGGGAUGAAUGGCUUCGGCCCGUAAACCCCUGUCAUUCGCGAUCAAAGCUCACGACCCAACACGUCGUGAGUUGAUAGUAGCGGAAGAGGAAGGGACGGCUAACUCUGUGCCAGCAGCCGCGGUAAUACAGAGGUCCCAAGCGUUGUUCGGAUUCACUGGGCGUAAAGGGUGCGUAGGCGGUCGGGUAAGUCUGACGUGAAAUAUCGGAGCUCAACUCCGAAACUGCGUCGGAGACUAUUCGGCUAGAGGAUUGGAGGGGGGGCUGGAAUUCUCGGUGUAGCAGUGAAAUGCGUAGAUAUCGAGAGGAACACCCGUGGCGAAGGCGAGUCCCUGGACAAUUCCUGACGCUGAGGCACGAAAGCUAGGGGAGCAAACAGGAUUAGAAACCCGAGUAGUCC
rnacentral:rRNA from 1 species